rnacentral:misc_RNA from 1 species
CUUGAAGUUAUUCGACUGGAAGGCCAUUCUCUUUUGCAAGAGGAUGCUUUUGUUUCAAGGGACAUUCAUCUCUUACAGAUAUGCUGUGGAAUUGAUGAAAAUGCUGUUGGUGCUUGCUCGGAACUUGUUUUUGCUCCAAUUGAUGAAAUGUUUCCUGAUGAUGCUCCACUAUUGCCUUCUGGUUUCCGCGUCAUUCCUUUGGAUUCAAAAACAAAGGAUGCCCCGGAUGUGAUGAAUACAUCUCGCACCCUGGAUCUCACAUCUAGUCUUGAAGUGGGUCCUGCAACAAAUCAUGCUGCUGGAGAUGUGUCAUCAUCUCAUAGUACACGAUCAGUCUUGACUAUUGCCUUUCAGUUCCCUUUUGAGA